GGCCGAGUUCCCGGACUGGCAGUGGACCGCACAACGCCGCUCCUGAUCCGACAUACGGCGCGCGGUGAGGCAACGGAUUCAAAACCCGUCCAGUGUCAGUUCGAGUCUGACCGGGGGCACCA
rnacentral:tRNA from 4 species